rnacentral:misc_RNA from 1 species
AAUUCUCAACUCCCUUCGAUUUCUUCGAAGGUGAGCUUGGACGUUGGAGGCCUGCAGGCUGUAAAGUCGGCUCCUCUGAAAUGCAUUGACAAAGGCGUGUGCAUGUUACGGCCUUCGGUGUGAUAAUGAUCACCGUGGCUGGCUUGCUGUAACACCUGUGUCUGAUCUUUCUUCCAUUUGCUUGGAAAAAGCUUACUUGACC